UUGAAGCUACAAUGGAACCGUAAUUCCGUGUGCAUCUAAACCCAACCUAGAAACGUUGACAUCCUAACCUAUCUUCAACUUUGUAUGUGUGUAAUAUUUUUAUGCAUUUUGACAUCCAAACAUUCCGAAGAAAAAUACUUCUAUAAAUAUUGGCCAAUACAUUAAAAAGAAUGACUGAUACUGAAAGCAGUAGCGAUUUUGAUUUCACUGCUACUCCCCCGGAAAUUGUAGAAUUAGCGAAGGCGACUACUGGCAAUUUGUUGCCUGAAAAAUCGAAAGAUUUAUACCUUAAACAAUAUGACACUUUUAUGCAAUGGCGAAAAUUAAGAAGAGCUAAUUCGUUCUCCGAAAAUGUGAUUCUCGCCUAUUUUAGUCAGUUAGCUAAGUCUAAUAAAGCUUUAACACUAUGGAAAGUGUAUUCAAUGAUUAGAACAACAAUUAACAUUAAACACAAUACAGAUAUAUAAAAAUAGGCCAGGCUAUGAGCAUUUUUGAAAAAACAAUCUGAUGGUUAUCGAAGAAAAAAAUCAAAGAUAUUAACUGGAGAAGAAGUCAACCAUUUUAUAAAUAAUGCUCCAGAUCAUAUUUAUCUUGCCACAAAGGUUGCUGUGAUAUUAGGAAUUAUGGGAGCUUGUCGAAGACAGGAGCUCUACUUAAUGAAAGUUCAGGAUAUUGAGAACUUGGGGUCCGCUAUAAUAAUAAAUGUUCCUGAUACAAAAACUAAAGUGCCUAGACAAUUUACAAUCACUGGAAAGUUUUAUACCUUAUUUAAAAAAUAUUUAUCUCUACGGUUACCAGAUAUUGCGACAAAUAGUAUCUUUAUUAACUUUCAAAAUGGACGCUGCACCAAGCAAGUGAUUGGAAUAAACAAACUAAGAAAUAUGCCUAAACAAGUGGCACAAUUUUUGAAUUUACCCAACCCUGGAUUAUACACAAGUCAUUGUUUUCGAAGAACAUCUGCAACAAU